rnacentral:rRNA from 1 species
CCUACGGGGGGCUGCAGUGAGGAAUAUUGGUCAAUGGACGCAAGUCUGAACCAGCCAAGUCGCGUGAAGGAUGACGGCCCUAUGGGUUGUAAACUGCUUUUAUAUGAGAAUAAACUGUUCCACGUGUGGGAUUUUGUAUGUACCGUAUGAAUAAGGAUCGGCUAACUCCGUGCCAGCAGCCGCGGUAAUACGGAGGAUCCGAGCGUUAUCCGGAUUUAUUGGGUUUAAAGGGUGCGUAGGUGGAUGGUUAAGUCAGUUGUGAAAGUUUGCGGCUCAACCGCAAAAUUGCAGUUGAAACUGGCAGUCUUGAGUACAGUAGCGGUGGGCGGAAUGCGUGGUGUAGCGGUGAAAUGCUUAGAGAUCACGCAGAACUCCGAUUGCGAAGGCAGCUCACUGGACUGCAACUGACACUGAGGCUCGAAAGUGUGGGUAGCAAACAGGAUUAGAUACCCCAGUAGUC